AGGCCAACCUGAGAGAGUUCAGCUGUUUAGCCAACAACCCAAGUUUGGAAAAGCUGAUUCCUAUGAAAAACUGGAGAAACUAGGAGAAGGACCUUAUGCAGCAGUCUACAAAGGGAAAAGCGACCCUCAAGGAGGCCUGUCGCCCUCGCCUUGUCUGCGCUGCGCGCUGGACCAGUUUCACGAAGUUGCCUGGGCCCCGCGCACCCCAGAUGUGGGACCUCUUGGAGCCACAGCCAAGCGAGAUCUGCAGGAUGAAGAACUUUGUCAGAGAGUUUCAGCAGCAUCGGCUUUGGCACAACUGUUUCUGGACAGGAGGUCUGCUUUCCCCGGAAUAAGGACCUAGACAGGCAACUUAAUGUGUUGGACACCAUCGACCAGGGUGGACUUGGCACUGGCAUGCCAUCGCCGUGUUUACAAGCUGGUGGUAAAUAAAAUGGUAGAAAUGACAACGAACACCUUCCUCUAGUCGUGACUGAAGUGGCGGUCCUAAGAAAUGAUCAAACACCCCACUUCAUUUGCCUCUUCCAGAUUUUAAAUACAGAAAAUUAUACUUUUAUAGUGAUGGAGUUCGUGCCAGGAGGAAAUCUGAGGGAGCAAAUACUGGAAGAAGGCAGGCUGCAUGAGGAAAAGGUGCAGAAAAUAUUCAGACUGCUAGUGUCAGCCGUAGAGUGCCGCCCAUGGCCAUGGCAUCGCCCAUCGAGACCGGAAGCCCCAGAACAUCCUGCUCGAUUAGAUGCAGAGGGUGAUGUGAAGCUGGGAGACUCUGGCCUCGCCACCAGGUGUGCAGCUGGCACUGUGCUGCAAGGGCGCUGUGGGACUGAGAUCUACAAUGCUCCAGAACUGGUUCUGAGGAAAGGGGACGAUGGGAGGAAGGCAGAUAUCUGGAGUCUGGGUAUAGUGCUCUAUUUUAUCACCACGGGGCACCACCCCUUCUGAAGAAGCACCCUGAAAGAGAUAUCCACCCUGAAAGAGAUAUUGAGAAGAAUAUAUCCAAAGGAAGGUAUUACAUCACAGCUUACAUCUUUAAAAGACUUGAUAAUCUCUUUCUUUUCAAAUGCUCAGUGUUGCCCCAGAGAGGAGGCCCAACAUUGAAGACAUUCAGCAACAUCCAUGGGUCAAGAACCCUGAAGGAAACAUCCCUAGUGAGCCCUUCCCAGAUCCUGUAUUUGUAAAAGAGCUCUUUUCCUAUGGAUUUCCUCUAAAAAGAUCAUAUACUCCUUAUAUAAAAGAGAAUAUAAUGAGAUCAUGAGGCCAUACCUAUUAGAACAGGCACAACAGGAGCUUGACCCCACCACCUCAGUCAAGGCGGGAAACCCUGGCGCUGCACCUCUACCAUCUCUGCUACCUGCUUUAACAUCUGGUCAUCACCUGAGAAGAAGAGCCAGUGAGCCCGCCCACUACUGGCCUUUUCCACACCCAGUCUUCAGAAGAGGAUAUACCUAAUGUCCUGACAUUAUCAGGGCAGAAGAUGACCAGAGGGGCGGGCCCCCAUGCCUCUAUGUUGUCCCCGGAAGAAGAGCCCCACUUCAAGCCAUGCCCCACUGACCAAGGCUGCAUCUGCCCCAUGUGUCUGCCACAGCAUGUUACGGAAGAAAUGCCCCUGCCACCUAGACCUGACCCUGACAUGGGGACAGCAUCUUCCACUCAGAACACCGGGUGCUGCUGGAGACUGAGCAGGGCAAUCAGGGUUAGCCUGUCAAGACUGUGUUGCUUCCUGGGGGCCCCAAAUACACAAACCCGGCCUGUGUUCAACACCAGAGUGGUUCCACUGAGAGAGGCAGGAGGAGAAACCCAGUAAGGGACCCCUGAGUCCCUGAAUGGGGACCUUUCAGAUCCCUCUGGUUGGACCUGUUUGUUCCUCUUCAUUCUUUGAACAUUGGGGUAUGUGUGGGGAGUUAUGAACUCUUCCCCCCUGAACAUUCCCACAUCAUGCUCAGUUUUCAGAGCUGCCUUCCUCUUCAGUAAAGUGAUCCCUGCGGUUGAACUUGUGGGUGCCAGCUCUCUUCUCCAUAGAUGUAUGCAGGCAGACAGCCACUGAAACUGCAUUGAUCAGCUAGACUUCCCUGAUGCCAAGAGCCUGCACCAGACAGGACUCCUGGACCUGCAUCAGCUGUGUCUCACCAGCGAAGACCUCGUGAUCAUCCUUUAGCUUGGAGGACACUGUUCUCUGCUUCCCUCUUCAGUUACCUUGUCUUCUCAACGGCCAUUGCCUGGCCCUAGGCCUCCUGAUGCACGUGGACCCCUGGCAGACCAUGGUCUCUGUGCAGGACAGGAGGCCAUCAUCGCUAGGUCAGACAUCCUCAUCUGCAUCAUCACCACCAUCUUUAAUAUGGAGAUUUGUAGAUCGCUUGAGAAGAGUUGUGAUUUUCAUGCUAGUGACUGAGCUGCAGACCUGACUGUAGUCCUGCUACCCGGAAACAGAAUGUUAAUGCACUUCCACCUUAGUUUACCUUGGGGGAUAAAAGGUGUUUGGAUAAUAAACAUGGGUGAUCUUCAGGAUUUGAA